GAUGAACGCUGGCGGCGUGCUUAACACAUGCAAGUCGAACGGACAUGUCUUUAGGGAUAUGUUAGUGGCAGACGGGUGCGUAACACGUAGGUGACCUGCCCUGGAGUGGGGAAUAACUAUCCUAACGGAUAGCUAAUACCGCAUAUGCUCGGUGAUUCAUUUUGCCGAGUAAAGUCGAAAGGCGCUUCAGGAUGGGCCUGCGGCGGAUUAGGUAGUUGGUGGGGUAACGGCCUACCAAGCCGAUGAUCCGUAGGGGGCGUGAGAGCGUGGCCCCCCACACUGGCGACUGAGAUACGGGCCGACGACUCCUACCGGGAGGGCGUCG
rnacentral:rRNA from 1 species